rnacentral:rRNA from 1 species
AGAGCGAACGCUGGCGGCAGGCCUAAUACAUGAAAGUCGAACGCACCUUCGGGUGAGUGGCGGACGGGUGAGUAACACGUGGGAACGUGCCCUUUGGUUCGGAAUAAUCCGGGGAAACCUGGCCUAAUACCGGAUGUGCCCUUCGGGGGAAAGAUUUAUCGCCAUUGGAGCGGCCCGCGUCUGAUUAGCUAGUUGGUGGGUAAAGGCCCACCAAGGCGACGAUCAGUAGCUGGUCUGAGAGGAUGAUCAGCCACACUGGGACUGAGACACGGCCCAGACUCCUACGGGAGGCAGCAGUAGGGAAUCUUGCGCAAUGGGCGAAAGCCUGACGCAGCCAUGCCGCGUGAAUGAUGAAGGUCUUAGGAUUGUAAAAUUCUUUCAGCGGGGAAGAUAAUGACUGUACCCGCAGAAGAAGCUCCGGCUAACUUCGCGCCAGCAGCCGC